rnacentral:rRNA from 1 species
GUACACAAAAAUGCACAUAUUGUGAGCUCGAUGAGUAGGGCGGGACACGUGGUAUCCUGUCUGAAUAUGGGGGGACCAUCCUCCAAGGCUAAAUACUCCUGACUGACCGAUAGUGAACCAGUACCGUGAGGGAAAGGCGAAAAGAACCCCGGCGAGGGGAGUGAAAAAGAACCUGAAACCGUGUACGUACAAGCAGUGGGAGCACGCUUAGGCGUGUGACUGCGUACCUUUUGUAUAAUGGGUCAGCGACUUAUAUUCUGUAGCAAGGUUAACCGAAUAGGGGAGCCGAAGGGAAACCGAGUCUUAACUGGGCGUUAAGUUGCAGGGUAUAGACCCGAAACCCGGUGAUCUAGCCAUGGGCAGGUUGAAGGUUGGGUAACACUAACUGGAGGACCGAACCGACUAAUGUUGAAAAAUUAGCGGAUGACUUGUGGCUGGGGGUGAAAGGCCAAUCAAACCGGGAGAUAGCUGGUUCUCCCCGAAAGCUAUUUAGGUAGCGCCUCGUGAAUUCAUCUCCGGGGGUAGAGCACUGUUUCGGCAAGGGGGUCAUCCCGACUUACCAACCCGAUGCAAACUGCGAAUACCGGAGAAUGUUAUCACGGGAGACACACGGCGGGUGCUAACGUCCGUCGUGAAGAGGGAAACAACCCAGACCGCCAGCUAAGGUCCCAAAGUCAUGGUUAAGUGGGAAACGAUGUGGGAAGGCCCAGACAGCCAGGAUGUUGGCUUAGAAGCAGCCAUCAUUUAAAGAAAGCGUAAUAGCUCACUGGUCGAGUCGGCCUGCGCGGA